CCCUUAGAUGUUCUGGGCCGCACGCGCGCUACACUGACGCUGUCAGAGAGUGUCUCCUUCACCGAGAGGUGUGGGUAAUCUUUUAAACAUCGUCGUGCUGGGGAUAGAUCAUUGCAAUUUUUGAUCUUAAACGAGGAAUUCCUAGUAAGCGCGAGUCAUCAGCUCGCGCUGAUUACGUCCCUGCCCUUUGUACACACCGCCCGUCGCUACUCCCGAUUGAAUGGUUUAGUGAGGCCUUCUGACUGGCGCCGCUACUCUGGCAACAGAGCGGCGGAUGCCGGGAAGUUGGUCAAACUUGAUCAUUUAGAGGAAGUAAAAGUCGUAACA
rnacentral:rRNA from 1 species